CUGUUCUCUAAUGGUGCCUUCAGCCAAGAAUGUACUGAGCUUUAUCCCAAACAUGGAACCUCACAUAGCAUCACAUUGAACCAAUGGACUCUGUGCAGUAAAAGAAAGAUGCUGUGGAUUAUAGAAAGAGUCAGAUAUGCAGCUUUACGAUCCACUGGUCACCAUCAUAAGCCACCACACUCAGUGGUCCUGGAAAGAUGAUGGAAGGGUUCCACUAAAAAAACAUCCAGGAGAUGCAGCUUAAGGAAUAUGGCUCUUAUGUUUCAUAGUACAAUGUAUCACCUAUAUUUACCUCAUGGUAUAGUUGUCUCUUCUGAAUACACAGUCCAAUAU
rnacentral:lncRNA from 1 species